CAAAAAGGCCCUCAGUGACUUUCAAGGGACAGGAAACCUUAUGAAAAUACUGCUUGCUGGAAAACCAAAACUUCCCUUCUAUAAUCAUUGCUUGUUGACAGCAGCGUGGCUGAAAGGGCUGCAGGAGGACUUCCUGUCCGCACCAGAUCAGGUUACACUGCUGUCCUGUUUCCCCUACCACUUAAGUCUGGGAUGUACGUGUUGGGAGCAGAAAUCCAUAGGAGGUAUUGGAGAACAAAUGUGGACCAGAGCUCAAAGAAAGCCCAGGUCUCCAUCCAGCCUCAUGCGGCACUGGUACCUGAGUGAGCAGGGAGCCCAAGAGCAACACCUGUGUCUGCUUCCAGCCAGAUUCGCACUGAUGUUACCAGGAGCAACUCUGUUGACUUCCGCAAGGUUCUACUCAAUGACACCGCAUAAACGACAGGACACUGAAAAUAGCCCAAGAAAUCAGAUUUUCAACAUAAUCAACUGGUGCUUUCUGAAAAGGAAAAAAAAAAAAAGAAAAGAAAAAAUGCAGCUAUCCUGCAAGCAGCACCCCAGCAAUCCUAUGAUGGUAAUUAAAAUCCUGGAUUCUCUUCAGUGUAACCCUCUGAUGCAGCGUUACCGUCUCCAGGCCGUCCCAAGGCACAGGUGAUUGCUUCUCCUUAGAGCACCAAAUCCCCG
rnacentral:lncRNA from 1 species